GGGAAGGUACCUGGCCGUAGAUGUCUGGGACAGGACAGGUAUGUGUUGAGGGAAGGUACCUGGCCGUAGAUGUCUGGGACAGGUAUGUGUUGAGGGAAGGUACCUGGCCGUAGAUGUCUGGGGACAGGUAUGUGUUGAGGGAAGGUACCUGGCCGUAGAUGUCUGGGACAGGACAGGUAUGUGUUGAGGGAAGGUACCUGGCCGUAGAUGUCUGGGACAGGUGUGUGUUGAGGGAAGGUACCUGGCCGUAGAUGUCUGGGACAGGACAGGUAUGUGUUGAGGGAAGGUACCUGGCCGUAGAUGUCUGGGACAGGUGUGUGUUGAGGGAAGGUACCUGGCCGUAGAUGUCUGGGACAGGUGUGUGUUGAUCCUGCAGCAGCACCUCAGAGAGGCACACAGAGUCUCUGCAGGCGUACAGGGCUUUGUGAUGGGCUUUUAGAACGUUUUGAGGACCUGAGGGCUCAUGCCAGAUCUUUUCAGCCUCCUGAGGGGGAGAUGGUGCUGUUGUGCCCUCUUCACAGCUGUGUUGGGUGUGGGCCAUGUGGGGGAGACGGGUGAACGGGGCAUUCUCAGUCAGAGCUGCUUCUCGUCUAAAGAAUGAAUGUCUGUCAUGGGAGAGAGGAGGAG